UACGAAGGGUGCAAACGUUGCUCGGAAUUAUUGGGCGUAAAGGGCGCGUAGGCGGUAGCACAAGUCAGUUGUGAAAUCUCCGGGCUUAACUCGGAAAGGUCAACUGAUACUGUGCGACUAGAGUGCAGAAGGGGCAACUGGAAUUCUCGGUGUAGCGGUGAAAUGCGUAGAUAUCGAGAGGAACACCUGCGGCGAAGGCGGGUUGCUGGGCUGACACUGACGCUGAGGCGCGAAAGCCAGGGGAGCGAACGGG
rnacentral:rRNA from 1 species